rnacentral:rRNA from 1 species
UAGGGAAUCUUCCGCAAUGGGCGAAAGCCUGACGGAGCAACGCCGCGUGAGUGAUGAAGGUCUUCGGAUCGUAAAACUCUGUUAUUAGGGAAGAACACAUGUGUAAGUAACUCUGCACGUCUUGACGGUACCUAAUCAGAAAGCCACGGCUAACUACGUGCCAGCAGCCGCGGUAAUACGUAGGUGGCAAGCGUUAUCCGGAAUUAUUGGGCGUAAAGCGCGCGUAGGCGGUUUUUUAAGUCUGAUGUGAAAGCCCACGGCUCAACCGUGGAGGGUCAUUGGAAACUGGAAAACUUGAGUGCAGAAGAGGAAAGUGGAAUGCCAGGUAUAGCGGUGAAAUGCGCAGAGAUAUGGAGGAGCACCAGUGGCGAAGGCGACUUUCUGGUCUGUAACUGAAGCUGAUGUGCGAAAGCGUGGGGAUCAAACAGG